UACGCCCGAGGCACCAAAC
rnacentral:misc_RNA from 1 species